UGUCACAUCGUGGUUCUGACUAUAGGAUACCUGAGCUGUCAAAGUUAGAGCAGACUUUCACUGUUCCCCUCUUGUGAGUUGCCUAAUUCUCUUAUUCAUUUACAAUUCCUGUUACAGAGUUACACUAUUAUUUUUUCUCUUUUGAUUUUAUGUUUCGAAAUUGCACAACCUAUACCCGGAAUUUAUAUUUUACAGUUCUUUUCCUCAGGCUAUAAUAGAGUAAGUGCUCUUUCUUAUCACCUUAUCACAAAGUGCACUGAUUGGAUUUUGCACAAAACAUUUUCUGAUGCAAUUGUAUUUUUUUACACUGUGUAUAACAUUUUAUAGAUCACUUCAGAUUGCACUUUCACAGUAUUGUUCUGCUGUCACAUAUUAAAGAGCUGUAAAUACUAAGCCUUCCUCCAAUUUGGAUGUCAAUUCUCUCAACCCAAAAAUUUAAAUUGGGAGACUGCACUUUAAGCCCAUAUUUAUUAUUUAACUGUAACUUUAAUUUAUUUUGGUAAACAGCUGAAAUAACAAAACUUGUGUCAGGGUCCAAAUAUUUAUUGUAUGUAAUUGUUUGAGAACUGCAGAUUUGUAUAAUUGUCCCUGUUUAUAGCUCAAAAUUAUUUAAGAAUGGUUCAUUCUUUUUAUAUGGGCUAUUUUUACUUGCAUUUGUGAUCAUGUACAAAGUAUCAAACUACCUGAAAAUCAUUUUGAUUGUGUUUUUAUACUUGAUACACUUUUUUAAACUAUGUGAUUUGGACAUAAUUGAUAAGAAAUGCUAUGAUUGUGAAUCAACAGUGCCAUCCAGUGGUGAAAACGUUCACUUUUCAUAAAUCUGCACACAAAAAAACGUUUUUGUUUGUUUCUGUUCCAAGCUUUGUUAAUAGUGAUGUCCCGAACGGUUCGCCACUGACGGCGAACAUAUGCGCUGUUCGGUCCACCCCCUAUGUCAUCAUUGAGUAAACUUUGACCCUGUACCUCACAGUCAGCAGACACAUUCCAGCCAAUCAGCAGCAGACCCUCCCUCCCAGACCCUCCCGCCUCCUGGACAGCAUCCAUUUUACAUUCAUUGUGAAGCUGCAUUCUUAGUGAGCUGUCCAGGAGGCGGGAGGGUCUGGGAGGGAGGAUCUGCUGCUGAUUGGCUGGAAUGUGUCUGCUGACUGUGAGAUACAGGUUCAAAGUUUACUCAAUGAUGACGAAUAGGGGGCGGAUCGAACAGCGCAUAUGUUCGCAGUCCGCGGCAAACCGUUCGAGACAUCACUAUUUGUAAAUAGUGCUUUAGUCCUGGUGUUCAUAAUUUUGAUGGAUUCAUUUUUUUACUAGUAGAAUGUACUCUUUUCAACAUAUUAUAAUGUUUACAGAAAUACUGUAAUUAAGAAAAAAAAACUUAUGUUUUUAGAUAUUAACCUGUUUAGAUUAUUACGGCUAUAUGUAUAUAUAUAUAUAUUUUUUUUAUAUAUCAAAAACAUAUUGACACUGUGUUAAUAAAACAUACAUUCCAGCUCAAGGACAGACUCCUCCCUACAAUCUGAUUUUCAUUUGAUGAAGUCAUCAAUCCUUAUGUCUUUAGUCUAAUCAGAUGCUUCUCAUAGAGAAGUAUUGAGUACACAAAAUGCAUGCUUGUCAAUUACUACAAUCCCCCAGUCCAUUAUUUCGGAAUUCUCUCAUUCUUCAUCUUUUCAUUGAGAAGCACGAGAUGCCUACAGCAUUCUGCACCAGUAUACUAUGCAUGCUGACACUGGAUGUCAAACAGAUUCAGUUAUUUAAUCAAUUUGUUUCAGAAGCAUCUAGUCGCUGACUGUCUGACAGCCAUUAGUAGGCAUGGAGUUGCAAAAUGUAAACAGUGACAUAUCUGCAGGGCCAGAUUAAGAACACAUUGGGCCUGGUGCUGACAAAUAUGAUGGGCCUAAUUACGGAAUCUUAUCGACCUAAAACACUAAAACAGUCAUACCUCCCAAGCGUCAUGUAUCUGAUAGAGAUGGUGCUGGAGGGAAACUCAUAGGAUGCAGCUAUAGGAAAACACAUACUCUAUGCUAAUCUCUCUCUAAUUUAUGCUUUGAAGUAAAUCCAUAACCCCUAACAGUAGUGUCCAGUGAAGCAGGAAGUCAAUGGGUGGGGUAAAAGGGUGGGCCACUGACCAGACCUGCCAAAAGGGGAGAACAUGCCCAAAAAGGGGGCAUGUCUGUCUAAAGAAUUUGAAGGCCAGCCUGGCAUGAAUGCAUGUCAGGCUGCCGCCAAUCCUGCAGGCUGUCCAACUAAGGGCAUACUAUGCAGACAGCACCCUGAGCUUGACAUAAAUGCAUCUAAUGAUGCGCUCACUCCGUGCUUUCUAAGGACUGUCCCCUAGUACUCGCUGGUCCUCUUGUCUCCUUGCCUUCUUACUAGCAGGCAGAAGUUCCUGGUAUAUAGUCUGAGACAGAGAAAAGGUGUAAGUAUUGAGUGUAGAAGAAAGGGGACAUGCCACAGUGUUAGAGAGACCAGCGUCUGCAUUACCUAAACUAAUUUUAUUGUCAGCUAGUCCACACAAGUUUUGUUCCCAUACAUCCCUCUUAAGCUUCCAAACUUAAAGGGACACUAUAGUCACCAGAACAACUACAGCUUAUUGUAUUUGUUCUGGUAAGUAGAAUCAUUCCAUUCAGGCCUUUUGCAGUAAAUACUGUCUUUUCAGAGACAAUAACUCCACUGGCCACUCCUUAGAUGGCUGCUAGAGGUGCUUCCUGGGGCAGUACUACCUAGUGUGCAGCACUGCCAUUCAGUGUCUCCACCCUCUGCAUGCAGACACUGAACUUUCCUCAUAGAGAUACAUUGAUUCAAUUUAUCUUUAUGAGGAGAUGCUGAUUGGCCAGGGCUAUGUUGGAGUUGUGCUGGCUCUGCCCCUGAUCUGCCUAGUUGACAGUCUCAGCCAAUCUUAUGGGGAAGUAUUGUAAUUUGCUCAGACCACCACUUCUGAUGAUGUCAGCAGACAGUCAAUUCAGAGGCAGAGCCAGCAGCUGCAGACUUGAAUACAAGUUAUAUUUUACUAUACUUAGGGAGGCAAGAGGGGGCCAGGGUGUUGGUUUUAACAUAAUAGAGUCAGAAAUACAUGAUUGUGUUCCUCACCCUAUAGUGCUCCUUUAAGCAAGAAUAUGUGAAGAGUAGUUAGGGUUGCCACCUUUCUUGGAAAAAAAUACCAGCCUUAAUCAUUUGUAUAAUCACAAGGAGUGACAUCAGAGAAAAUUCUGUAAAAUCACCAACAAACUACUCACAGUUUGAUUCUGCUGUAUAGAUGGAUUGCUCCCAGUGUCUCAGUCUCGCAAGUCACCCAGUGUCUCAGUGUCCCUAUGUAUCACAGUGUCAGUGUCCCCAUGUCGCCCAGUCCCCUAGUCUCCCAGUGUCUGUGUCCCCAUUUCUCCCAGUGUCCCAAUGGCUCAGUGUGUCCCCAUGUCUCCAGGAUACUGGGGACACUGAGAGACAUGGGGACACAGACAUUUAGGGAAACUGGGAGAAAUGGGGACACAGACACUAGGGACACAGACACUGGGAGACAUGGGGACACUGAAACAUUUGGGGACACUAAGACACCUGAGGGGACACAGAGACAUGGGAACACAGACACUGGAAGACUAGGGGACACUGGGAGACAUGGGGACACUGGCUGGAAGACAGACACUUGGGGACACUGGGAGACAUAGGGACAGUUGUGGGCAUAGACAUGGGGACACUGGGACAUAUAGGGACACUGGGAGACAUGGGGACACUAGGCACACAGACACUGGGAGACAUAGGGACACUGAAACAUUUGGGGACACUAAGAUACUAGGGACACAUAGACAUGGGGAUUCUGGGAGACUUGGGGACAGUUGUGGACAUAGACAUGGGGACACUGGGUCAUAUAGGGACACUGGGAUACAUGGGGACACUAAGCACACUGAGAGACAUGGGACACAGACACUGGGAGACUUAGGGACACAGACACUAGCAACACUGGAUGGGGGACAUGGGGACACUGGGAGAAAUGGGGACAUAGUGUCUCCGUGUCUCCCAAUGUCUCACAGCAUCCCCAUGUGUCUCAGCACCCCCAUGUGUCCCAGUGUCCCCUAGUGUCUCAGUGUCUCCAUGUUUUCCAGUGUCCCCACCUGUCUCAGUGUUUCCAGGUCUCCCAGUUUCUGUGUCCCCAUGUGCCCCCUAGAGUCUGUGUCCCCUAGUAUCUCAGUGUCCCCAUAUGUCCCCUAGUGUCUCAGUGUCCACAUGUGUCCCCUAGUGUCCCAGUGUCCCCAUGUGUCCCCCAGUGUCCCCAUCCCUCACUUACCUGAGCUGUAGAGCUGCUGUCUGGACUCUGUGCUGUGUUGCUGCUCCCCCACAGAUCAGUGAGUAGCAGAGAGAGGCAGGGAUAUGCUGUAACUUCCUAUCCCUGCCUCUCUCCACACACAGUGACCCCUACUGGCUGGUGCUGGUAUUGUAGAGUAAUCUCCAUUUAUUCUGAGAAAAAUAUCUGCAUUUGUAUUGCCAGUCUUACUGCAAUACCGGCACGGCCAGGCAGCCUCAAAUACCGGCUGUACCAGUAAAAUACCAGUCAGGUGGCAAACCUAAGAGUAGUGUGUGUAAAAAAAAAAAAAAAAAAAAUUUUUUAUUUUUUAUUUUUAAAUGGGCCUAGUCCAUGGGCCUGGAGCUGCAGCUCCAUCAGCCCCUAUGUUAAUCCGGCCCUGCAUAUCUGAGAAAUCGCACAGUUUUUCAUUUUCUAGGCUGCAGGGACUUUGCCCACCAAAGUACUUAAGAUUAUUAUUAUUUACAACUUUAAAUUCUAAUUGUCACAUUCCUAUAUGGCAGGGUAAUUAGCGUUUGUAAAAAUAUUUGGUUUUUGUUUUCUUUUCUUCAGUGCUGCAUAUUUUCCCCUUGUGACUUUUUACAUGGGAGGAUAUUGUAUUAUUUUAGCAUAACGUGUUUUAAACAUAUGUUUUGCUACCAAUAUUAAGUGACUCUAUCCAUUUUUUUACCCUGUGUUUUAGGGUACCCAUCAAUCCUGGGAUCACCUGAGAAAGAGAGAGAGAAAGAGUUAUGCAAUAAAUGAACAAUUUCAGCAAAUUAAAUCUAAAUGGCCAACUUAAGGUUAAAAUAAUUGAUCGGGGACAUUCUCCAACUCAACCAUAGUCACAGCUCAAUUAGCUAGUCUCAAUUUUUUCUAUUUGGUUUUAAUUUUCUAAAAUUCAGUGUGGAUAAUUCUCACUAAAAAUCUUAUUCCAAUUUAUCUCAUAGAAAAGGAGAAAAUAUUUAAUAUGUCAUGCAAAAUAUGCAACAUAACAUAUCAUCUGGGACAAAGUCUGAAGCUAUCAUACACAAAACAUGUUAAAUGCUUAUUCAACUUUAACUUAAGUAACUGCCAUUUAGGAGUUAAAUCACUUUAUAAGUGCUUGGAGUGUCCCUUUAGGCUUUCUUCCAGCUAUUGACUAUCAACAUCUGGUUACAGUGAAGUGACUAGGGAUGGGCAAAUAUUUUGGUUCGAUUCGGAAAUUUGGGUAAGCAAAACAAUUUGGCACUUCAGCAAUUCGUUCCGGCACUUCCAAAAUUCAGCAAUUUGGGACUUUCGGAAAUGCGGGACUUCGGAAAUGCAGGACUUCGGAGAUUCAGAACAUCUCUAGGGCUCCCUAACCAUAACCCUACCCCUAACCAUACAACAUACCCCUAACACUACCCCAUACCCCUAUCCAUACCCAUAACCACCACAACCACUUACACAUCUAUAGGGCUCCCAGUGCCCGGACUGCCAUCACAACCACUUACACAUCUGUAGGGCUCCCAGUGCCAUGAUUACCACCACAACCACUUACACAUCUAUAGGGCUCCGGAAUGUCAGGAAUUAGCUUAUUGGUCAAGAUUCCUGUCAUCAUUCACAUAACUUUCUAUUCCUCUCUUGUUUUGCCACUUUUCAGAAAUCUGAAGAACUUCGGCACUUCCAAAAUUCGGCACUUUGGCAAUUCGGUACGGUUCGGCACUUUGGAAAUUCGGACUUCUGACUGACCGAUGUACACACAUGCGAGGAUGACAGAAGACGCCUUGUGCGUACUAUAUUCAGUGUGUUUAUCCACUGUUAAUUCUAUGCAUUUUUGUAUUUGUAUGAUACAAGAUGUUUUCAUAUAAUACACAAUUGCUUUUUGCAUCUCUGUUUUCAUUUUUCCAACAGUAUCCACAGGACUUUAUGACACUUCCCUGGCGUGCUGCUGGCUUUAAAAAUCCAUAAAAGCUCUCUCUGACACAAUCCUG
rnacentral:lncRNA from 1 species